rnacentral:rRNA from 1 species
GACAGAGGCCCCGAGCGUUAGGCGGAAUCACUGGGCUUAAAGCGUGUGUAGGCGGGCCCGUAAGUGUCUUGUGAAAUCCCACGGCUCAACCGUGGAACUGCUGGGCAUACUGCGGGUCUUGGGCCAACUAGGGGCAGCCGGAACAAGCGGUGGAGCGGUGAAAUGCGUAGAUAUCGCUUGGAACGCCGAAGGUGAAAACAGGCUGCUGGGGUUGCGCCGACGCUGAGACACGAAAGCCAGGGGAGCGAACGGG